rnacentral:lncRNA from 1 species
AAGGAAUUCAUACGGAGUAAUCGAGUGGCAAGCUUGGUAACUCAACACAAGUACUGUGAGUAGUAAUCUUACCACAAUUGAUGUUUUAUAACUUGCAUGACUUUCACAUGGUUUAUAAAGCAAAUGUGUUACUGAAUGUUUUAACUUGCAUGUGGGACAAGUCUCUUACUAGACUCAACACAAGUACUGUGAGUAGUAAUCUUACCACAAUUGAUGUUUUAUAACUUGCAUGACUUUCACAUGGUUUAUAUAGCAAAUGUGUUACCGAAUGUUUUAACUUGCAUGUGGGACAAGUCUUUUACUGGAUAUGAUACUGAAAAGAUCAUUUGAGAUGAACUCAUUCUUACAAGAUAUGAUUACUGAUAUUGAAAAGGUUUUACACUUAUUUGAGAAAUAGUAUUUUGACAGGUGAUUGUUAAACUUUGAAAUGUUCUGAUUUGGUAAGAUAUAAAUGUUCUAUCUGAUUUUGAAAUGCUUCUACAGAUUAUAAAAAAAAGUAUAAAUGGGAGUAGACCUUGAUGAAUCCCGUAGCUAACGGCGGGUUCAUUAGACCUGGUGCACCUUGUAGUUCUGAUUACUAGAUUAUAAGAAAAGUAUAAAUGGGAGUAGACCUUGAUGAAUCCCGUAGCUAACGGCGGGUUCGUUAGACCUGGUGCACCUUGUAGUUUUGAUUAUUGAUAAAGCCCUUGCUAGUGGGAAGGUAGAACUAGUAUACUGUUACUGAUAUCCCUCGAGUAGGGAUCUACUGAUAUGAAUAAUUAACUCNNNNNNNNNNNNNNNNNNNNNNNNNNNNNNNNNNNNNNNNNNNNNNNNNNNNNNNNNNNNNNNNNNNNNNNUUAUUGGUUACUUCUUAAGGAGAAGACCACACUGAUUACAUGAUUCAUCCUUGGAAACCUCCCAGCUAUAAGAUUUGAUAUGAAAAUGUUCUUUUUCUGAGUUUGCUAUUAUGUAUUUACAUUGAUUUUGCUUAUAUGAGGCACCUAAGGUUGAAUAUUGUUAUUGUUUCUGAAAGAGCAUUGUUUCAUCAUCAUGACUAUUACACUAGCAUGCUUUCUGACUUGUCCCUCAUUAAAAUGGUUGGGGUUAAGUAUUAUUACUCACUGAGCUAGCGUCUCACUCCUCGCUAUUUGUUUUUUUACAGAGAAUUCAAGUGGUAUUGAAGAGGAUUUCAUUAACUAGCGUGUGAGUUGGUAGCAUCUGGUGAGCCCCGCAUUGCUUCGCGUGGCAAGAGAACUAUUGAUUUGUUAUGUUUAUUUAGUUUCUUUUAAAAACUCUUAGAGUUGCUCCAUUUGUCAUUCUUUUGAUUUGAGUCAAGAUUAGUCCUUCGAAUUGUAGUCAAGUGACUAGUUUGGAACUUUUUUCGUAAUUUGGAGAUGAAUUGGUUUUAUUACGUGACAAUUUGAUCAUUGAUGGAUAUUAUAUGGUGUUUUAUAGUUGAUAUUAGUUGUGUUGUGAAAUUCUGAGACAGGAAAAAUCCAGGAUAGGCCUAAAAACAAAGGAAACUCUGCCCGAUUUUCUGUAGAAUUCUCAAUUUGAUCAUUGAUGGAUAUUAUAUGGUGUUUUAUAGUUGAUAUUAGUUGUGUUGUGAAAUUCUGAGACAGGAAAAAUCCAGGAUAGGCCUAAAAACAAAGGAAACUCUGCUCGAUUUUCUG